GGUCAAGCGAAUAAGCGCACAUGGUGGAUGCCUUGGCGGUCAGAGGCGAUGAAGGACGUGGUAGCCUGCGAAAAGUGUCGGGGAGCUGGCAACAAGCUUUGAUCCGGCAAUAUCCGAAUGGGGGAACCCACUGUUUAGGCAGUAUCUUUGAGUAAAUUCAUAGCUCAAGGAGGCGAACCUGGUGAACUGAAAUAUCUAAGUAACCAGAGGAAAAGAAAUCAACAGAGAUUCCCUGAGUAGUGACGAGCGAACGGGGAUUAGCCCUUAAGCUAGUAUGGUUUUAGGAAAGCAAUCUGGGAAGGUUGGCCAUAGAAGGUGAUAGCCCUGUAUCCGAAAGGGCCGUACUAGUGAAGAUGAGUAGGACGGGGCACGUGAAACCUUGUCUGAAUAUGGGGGGUCCAUCCUCCAAGGCUAAAUACUCCUGACCGACCGA
rnacentral:rRNA from 1 species